UACGGGGGGGGCAAGCGUUGUUCGGAAUUACUGGGCGUAAAAGGCUCGUAGGUGGCCAACUAAGUCAGACGUGAAAUCCCUCGGCUUAACCGGGGAACUGCGUCUGAUACUGGAUGGCUUGAGUUUGGGAGAGGGACGCGGAAUUCCAGGUGUAGCGGUGAAAUGCGUAGAUAUCUGGAGGAACACCGGUGGCGAAGGCGGCGUCCUGGACCAACACUGACACUGAGGAGCGAAAGCCAGGGGAGCAAACGGG
rnacentral:rRNA from 1 species